ACAGUGUGAGAGCUAUUGCUAACGGCAGCUUCACAACCACUGGAGUUUAUCCAUUGCCAUCUGUCUUUAUUUUGCACAUCGUACUCAGAGAGAUGCCACAAAUCAAGCUGACCCGGCGCGUCAUUCCGCUCCUCCCGCAGCCCGCAGGCUGUGUGGCUGGCAGUGCCCAGUGAGCUGCACAGCUGGGAAUGGGGCUUCCUGAGCGGGAUGGAGCUGUGCUGUUGGCUCCACGUCAGCUCCGUAGCUCUAAAGGUUACAGCGGAUUGAGAAUAGGAGCCCUGGCUUCCAAACAUUUGAUUUACAAGAAGUGAAAGCCUCAGCAAACUUCCUGAAGACAGGAGGAGCACCGAUUGGUUGAUAUGUGCAGACGUCCAUCAACACAAAGCAGAGAGAAAAUGAAAACGAAGUUUGGAAUGUGCUAAUUGGAUUUCACGUCCACAUUGGAGCCGCAGUGAGCUGACGUGAGACACGGGGCACCUCCCGAAAGAAGACUCUUCUUAGGAAAUGUACAAGAAUGGUUUAAUGCAAUAUCUAAAACACAAUUAAAGCAACGUGCUAAUGACA